rfam:Actinobacteria bacterium 13_1_20CM_3_71_11 13_1_20cm_3_scaffold_10723, whole genome shotgun sequence.
CACGGCGGCCAUAGCGGAGGGGAAACGCCCGGCCACAUUCCGAACCCGGAAGCUAAGCCCUCCAGCGCCGAUGGUACUGCACCCGAGAGAGUGUGGGAGAGUAGGACGCCGCCGGAC